AUUAUUUUAGAGGCCUACCUGUCUCUGUUCAAUACCAAAUAAAAUGUAGUUUUCAAAUGACUGCCAACAAAUAUGUUUUAGGAAAUACUUGUCAGUAAGCAAAUUUGUCUGUCUCACCUCUCUCAUGGAGGCAUUGGAAUAUGGAAUGGUUAAUAUAGACACUCUUGGUUUCUUCCCUUUGCCUUCUUCCCUAGAAUGGGAGUGAUGCUCUGGUAGUUUUAAUUUUAUUUUUCUUUUGAACUUUAGCCCAAGAUCACUUAGCUGUUCAGAAAUAGAGCUAUGAUUUGAACACAGGCAUCUGCUUCCAAAGUCAAUGUUCCCACCCAAUGUGUUUUGCAGUGCUUCUGAUCUCUGUCAUAUGUUACCUUUUUCAGGUUUUUCCCAGAUCACUCUGGGUGAAAUGGUUCUCACCUCCUUGUACCCCACUUCCCAAGGCUACUUCAUAAAUAGACAGAGUCUCGCUCUUGUACCCCAGGCUGGAGUGCAAUGGCAUGAUCUUGGAUCACUGCAACCACCACUUCCAGGCUUCAAGCUAUUCUCCUGCCUCAGCCAGUGUAUUGAUUCUUGAAGGUAUUUUUUAAAUUUCUUAAUUUUAGUGCUACAAAAAAGUGUUUGGUUUGUAGUACAACUAAUAAGUUAAUAAGAGGUCAAGCUGGAAUUUGAACCUAGGUGGUCUUUUCUAAAUCCUGUAUUCUCUCUCAUAUAUGCUGACCCUCUAAAUAUCCAUUCCUUGAACCCGUCUUGGUUAUAUAUAUAUGUGCAUGUGUUUGUGUGUGCGUGUAAAUAUAUAUACACACACAGAAAUGCCAUGUACUGAGCCCUUGGGUGUGCAAGCACCAUGCCGGGUAUUUUCUACAUUAGAAUAUACGAAAGUACAUAAGGAAUGUGUGUUUAUUUGACCUGCAUUUAAUUGUACAAGAUUGUAAAGCUUUGUUUUCUUUUGUAAGAAGUCAUCAAUGAGUGAAUGGCAUUGUGUGUACACAAACUUUCAGCAGGGUGACAGAUGACAGUGAUUGACUAUGUGGGUGGGUAUUCCAAUGAAUGCUGAAAUGGGAAUGAUGCGUGCAUAAGGCGUGUGAGAGGGAAUGUGGUUGUCUUCGACCAAAGUCAAUUAGUCAAUUGGGUCUACAUUAAGGAUAACAGUGUGGCAGGAUGUGAGGGCACAGCAACUGGAGGCUUGGUUUCCAUUUGGAGGGUAGGGGGAUUCCAUCAGAGUAUAC
rnacentral:lncRNA from 1 species